rnacentral:rRNA from 1 species
AUGAACGCUGGCGGCGUGCCUAAUCCAUGCAAGUCGAGCGAACAGACGAGGAGCUUGCUCCUCUGACGUUAGCGGCGGACGGGUGAGUAGCACGUGGAUAACCUACCUAUAAGACUGGGAUAACUUCGGGAAACCGGAGCUAAUACCGGAUAAUAUAUUGAACCGCAUGGUUCAAUAGUGAAAGACGGUUUUGCUGUCACUUAUAGAUGGAUCCGCGCCGCAUUAGCUAGUUGGUAAGGUAACGGCUUACCAAGGCAACGAUGCGUAGCCGACCUGAGAGGGUGAUCGGCCACACUGGAACUGAGACACGGUCCAGACUCCUACGGGAGGCAGCAGUAGGGAAUCUUCCGCAAUGGGCGAAAGCCUGACGGAGCAACGCCGCGUGAGUGAUGAAGGUCUUCGGAUCGUAAAACUCUGUUAUUAGGGAAGAACAAAUGUGUAAGUAACUAUGCACGUCUUGACGGUACCUAAUCAGAAAGCCACGGCUAACUACGUG